AGGGCGCAUGGUGGAUGCCUAGGCUCAAGGAGGCGAUGAAGGACGUGGGAAGCUGCGAUAAUCUGCGGUUAGGCGCAACCGGCCAUUGACCCGCAGGUCUCCGAAUGGGACAACCCGCCGCCGAAAGGCGGCAUCACGCAGUGAGCGUGAGGCGAACGCGGGGAACUGAAACAUCUUAGUACCCGCAGGAAGAGAAAACAACAGUGAUUCCCCCAGUAGUGGCGAGCGACCGGGGAAGAGCCCAAACCGUCGGCGUUUCGGCGCCGUCGGGGUAGUAGGGCCGCAAUGUCGCACAAGCACCGUUAAGCGGAACGGACUGGAACGUCCGGCCAUAGCGGGUGAAAGCCCCUUACGCGCCGUCGGUGCUGGCGUAGCGGUUCCCUGAGUAGCGCGGGGCACGAGAAACCCUGUGCGAAUCCGCCGGGACCAUCCGGCAAGGCUAAAUACUCCCUUGAGACCGAUAGUGAACAAGUACCGUGAGGGAAAGGUGGGAAGCACCCCGUCGAGGGGAGUGAAAUAGACCCUGAAACCAUGCGCCUACAAGCGGUCGGAGCACGCUUAUGCGUGUGACGGCGUGCCUUUUGCAUAAUGAACCUACGAGUUGCCGUCGCCGGCGAGGUUAACCGUGAAGACGCGGGGAGCCGCAGUGAGAGCGAGCCUGAACAGGGCGUACAGUCGGCGGUGGCAGACGCGAAACCAAGUGAUCUACACUUGGCCAGGGUGAAGUCCCGGUAACGCGGGAUGGAGGCCCGAACCGAUAAGCGUUGAAAAGCUUCCGGAUGAGCCGAGUGUAGGAGUGAAAGGCCAAUCAAACUUGGAGAUAGCUCGUACUCCCCGAAAGGCAUUUAGGUGCCGCGUCGGAUGGUCACCGUGAGAGGUAGAGCGACCGAUAGGACAAGAGGGCUUCACCGCCUAUCGAGUCCUGACGAACUCCGAAUGCUCACGGUCUGCAGUCCGGCAGUAAGGGGGCGGGUGCUAAGGUCCGUCCCCGAGAGGAGAAGAAUCCAGACCGCCGUCUAAGGUCCCGGAAUUCUGCCUGAGUUAGUCUAACGAAGUGAGGUCCCUGAGACAGCCAGGAUGUUGGCUUGGAAGCAGCCAUUCAUUCAAAGAGUGCGUAACAGCUCACUGGUCGAGGGGGCUCGCGUGGAUAAUAAUCGGGUAUAAGGCAGAUGCCGAAGGCGCGGGAUAUCGAAAGAACGUAUCGGUAGGGGAGCAUUCCAGGUGCGCAGAAUGCAUGGGGCGACCCAUGCUGGAGCGCCUGGAAAGGCAAAUGUAGGUAUGAGUAACGACAAGGGGGGCGCGAACCCCCCCCGCCGCAAGGCCAAGGUUUCCCGGGCGAUGCCAGUCAUCCCGGGGUAAGUCGGGCCCUAAGCCUAAGCCGAAUGGCGAUGGCGAUGGCAGACACGGUUGAGAUUCCGUGACUGCCCGUGCGGGCGAUGCGGCAACGGAGAAGUGACACCGCCGCGCGCAGACGGAACUGCGCGUUGAAGGGUGUAGGCGUCGAGGGGCGCAGUUAAGCACACGCCCCGAGCCGAACCUGAAAGUACGGCGCUCCAUUCGUGGAGGGCCGAGAGUGCGGGUAAUCCGGCUCCCAAGAAACCCCGCUAAGCUUAACCGCACGGGCACCCGUACCGCAAACGGACACACGUGGCCGGGUAGAGCAUACCAAGGCGUUGAGAGACUCAUGGUCAAGGAACUAGGCAAACCAGCCCCGUAACUUCGGGAGAAGGGGUCCUCCCCCCGUGGGAGGCGCAGCGAACAGGCCCAGGCAACUGUUUACCAAAAACACAGGGCUGUGCAAACUCGAGAGAUGAAGUAUACAGCCUGACACCUGCCCGGUGCCGGAAGGUUAAGAGGAGGCGUCACCGCAAGGGAAGCGCCGAGUUGAAGCCCCGGUAAACGGCGGCCGUAACUAUAACGGUCCUAAGGUAGCGAAAUUCCUUGUCGGGUAAGUUCCGACCUGCACGAAUGGUGUAAUGAUCCGGACGCUGUCUCAACCGUGAGCUCAGUGAAAUUGUAGUAUCGGUGAAGAUGCCGAUUACCCGCGAUGGGACGAAAAGACCCCGUGAACCUUUACUACAGCUUAGCAUUGACCUUGGUCAUCCGAUGUGUAGGAUAGGCCGGAGGCUUCGAAGCGGGAGCGCCAGCUUUCGUGGAGCCAUCCUUGAAAUACGGCCCUUUGGCUGUCUGAGGUCUAACGCGUGAUAACGCGGACACUGCUUGGUGGGUAGUUUGACUGGGGUGGUCGCCUCCAAAAGCGUAACGGAGGCUU
rnacentral:rRNA from 1 species